rnacentral:lncRNA from 1 species
UGUGAUGACUUUAACGAGUAGCCGAGCCUUCUCGGUGAUCUCCGCGAGCCUCCGACGAUUUCUUCGGCGAACUUCCGACACGUUCCCGAUUUCUUCUCGGAUGGUUCCGACAGCAUCUCCGAUGAUUCUUCGGUCUCUUAAACGUCGAUCGACCUCGACUCCGGUAUCCUUGCUUUAUGUCUUUGUCGUUAUCGUAGUUAAUCCUGCACACACAAGCAAACACUCUACUCCGAUCUAGACAAUUAUUAUAACGCAAAUUGACAUUCUGUUGCCCGGCACGUCAUUGGUUGGCGCUUCAUCCGAUUCUUCGGUGCAUCGUCCUCUCUUGCGGCUUGUUGCCCAAUCGGCGGUUGACCUCCGCAACCCCGAUAUCCUUGGCGCAAUUUCGCUCUCCUUGGCCCGAUGCCUGACGCCCGAAGCCUUCUGCUAUCCAAUAUCCUAACGUGAUCUCCUCCGACGCAACGUCAAUUCCUCUUGCGUUAAUUGUCUAAUCCUGAUCGAGUAGACCUAUAUCACUCAAAAUGUAGUCAAACAUUUAAACAUAAUCAAUUAGUUUCAUCAUCAAAAUCCGAGAUUCAACA